GUCUCCGACAGGAAGUUUUGGAAGAGAGAUUUCGGAAGAUGAUUUGAAAUCGUGGAGCUAUUGAAUACACAUCGCCUCGUGAUCAAUUUGAUAGAUUAUUAACGUUUACUAAUACCUAAAGUUGGAUUACAAAAGUAUUUCGAAGUGUUUUGUGAAAGUUUAUUGUCGACUUUUUUAAUUUAAAAAAAUGACGUAGCGUUUUGAAACAGUGUUUUUUUCUGAAUCACACAGUUUCCAUAGAUGGAUAUUUUGGGUAUAUAUGGACCGAUUUAAUCGAAAAAAAAGACCCAAUAGUGAUGUUUAUGGGACAUAUAGGAGUACCAACAAAGAAGCUCGUCCAAGGACCUGAGCCCUAGGACCAUGCCCCAGGACUACCUGACAUGAUGACUCCUUGCUGUCCCCAGUCCACCUGGCCAUGCUGCUGUUCCAGUUUCAACUGACCUGAGCCCUAGGACCAUGCCCCAGGACUACCUGACAUGAUGACUCCUUGCUGUCCCCAGUCCACCUGGCCAUGCUGCUGCUCCAGUUUCAACUUCCACCUGACUGUGCUGCUGCUCCAGUUUCAACUGUUCUGCCUUAUUAUUAUUCGACCAUGCUGGUCAUUUAUGAACAUUUGAACAUCUUGGCCAUGUUCUGUUAUAAUCUCCACCCGGCACAGCCAGAAGAGGACUGGCCACCCCACAUAGCCUGGUUCCCCUCUAGGUUUCUUCCUAGGUUUUGGCCUUUCUAGGGAGUUUUUCCUAGCCACCGUGCUUCUACACCUGCAUUGCUUGCUGUUUGGGGUUUUAGGCUGGGUUUCUGUACAGCACUUUGAGAUAUCAGCUGAUGUACGAAGGGCUAUAUAAAUAAAUUUGAUUUGAUUUGAUUUGAUUUAGAAAAUAGUAAAAAUAAAGAAAAACCCUUGAAUGAGUAGGUGUUUACAAACUUUUGACUGGUACUGUAUAUCCAGCCUGUUUCAGAUCAGUCAAGGAGACAGUCCUGGGGUGAUUCUCGAUUGUAUUUCCUUGAUUCCUUGCAUCCUCUGUCCUCACCUCCUUCUGUAAGCGUAUUGGAGU
ensembl:lncRNA